UACGAAGGGGGCUAGCGUUGCUCGGAAUCACUGGGCGUAAAGGGUGCGUAGGCGGGUCUUUUAGUCAGGGGUUAAAUCCUGGAGCUCAACUCCAGAACUGCCUUUGAUACUGAAGAUCUUGAGUUCGGGAGAGGUGAGUGGAACUGCGAGUGUAGAGGUGAAAUUCGUAGAUAUUCGCAAGAACACCAGUGGCGAAGGCGGCUCACUGGCCCGAUACUGACGCUGAGGCCCGAAAGCGUGGGGAGCAAACAGG
rnacentral:rRNA from 1 species